GACGUAGGGCGCGAGCGUUGUCCGGAUUUAUUGGGCGUAAAGAGCUCGUAGGCGGCUUGUCGCGUCGUCCGUGAAAACCCACGGCUUAACUGUGGGCUUGCGGUCGAUACGGGCAGGCUAGAGUUCGGUAGGGGAGACUGGAAUUCCUGGUGUAGCGGUGAAAUGCGCAGAUAUCAGGAGGAACACCGGUGGCGAAGGCGGUUCUCUGGGCCUUACCUGACGCUGAGGAGCGAAAGCGUGGGGAGCGAACAGG
rnacentral:rRNA from 1 species